rnacentral:rRNA from 1 species
UACGGAGGGUGCAAGCGUUAUCCGGAUUCACUGGGCUUAAAGGGUGCGUAGGUGGGUCUGUAAGUCCGUGGUGAAAUCUCCGAGCUUAACUUGGAAACUGCCAUGGAUACUAUAGGUCUUGAAUACUGUGGAGGUCAGCGGAAUAUGUCAUGUAGCGGUGAAAUGCUUAGAUAUGACAUAGAACACCAAUUGCGAAGGCAGCUGGCUAGACAAAUAUUGACACUGAUGCACGAAAGCGUGGGGAUCAAACAGG